rnacentral:tRNA from 1 species
ACGCCCGUAGCUCAGCCCGGAUAGAGCAGAGGUUUCCUAAACCUCUUGUCGGAGGUUCAAAUCCUCUCGGGCGUGC